CCACUAUAUGAGCUAACCCCUAAUUCUUCUGUUUCUUCUUUCAGAAGGAAACCACGGAUAUAUCAGUGCAGAAUCCGAAAACCCAACUAGAUGGAAACGGAAACAAAUAUAUCACUUAUGAGAUUACUGUCAAUACAACAGAUCUGUCCUAUUCUUUAUCGAAAAGCCGGUCACGCAGGCGGUACAGUGAGUUUGAAUGGUUACGUAAACAGCUCGAGAUAAACCACCCAGAUAUCAAACCUUCCAAGUUACCCAGACAUUUAUAUUUCAAUGAGAAAUUUGAUGAAGACUGCAUUGCUCAUCGGAUGAAAGGGCUUCAAAAAUUUCUAUACGAAUGCAGUUUGGUAAAAGAUUAUGUCUCCGAUGCAUCGUUCCACCUCUUUCUACAGAGUGACUUAACUUGGGAUGAACUCAUUCAACAUUCGAAAGGAAACUACAAACCGUCCUUAACUGAAGUUUGGAAAAUGGGUGGCCGAACGCACCCAAAAGAGCCAGAUUUUUGGGAGCUGAUUGUUGCUGACAUUCCGUCCGAAACCUCCAAAGAUACAAAUUAAUUACUUUUAUAUCGUUCUAAAUUAAUUAAUACCACAAUAAAUAACUUAUUUUUCUGUAAA